rnacentral:rRNA from 1 species
AGUGAACGCUGGCGGUAGGCCUAACACAUGCAAGUCGAACGGCAGCACAGUAAGAGCUUGCUCUUACGGGUGGCGAGUGGCGGACGGGUGAGGAAUACAUCGGAAUCUACUUUUUCGUGGGGGAUAACGUAGGGAAACUUACGCUAAUACCGCAUACGACCUACGGGUGAAAGCAGGGGAUCUUCGGACCUUGCGCGGUUGAAUGAGCCGAUGUCGGAUUAGCUAGUUGGCGGGGUAAAGGCCCACCAAGGCGACGAUCCGUAGCUGGUCUGAGAGGAUGAUCAGCCACACUGGAACUGAGACACGGUCCAGACUCCUACGGGAGGCAGCAGUGGGGAAUAUUGGACAAUGGGCGCAAGCCUGAUCCAGCCAUACCGCGUGGGUGAAGAAGGCCUUCGGGUUGUAAAGCCCUUUUGUUGGGAAAGAAAAGCAGCAGGUUAAUACCCCGCUGUUCUGACGGUACCCAAAGAACAAGCACCGGCUAACUUCGUG